CCUACGGGAGGCAGCAGUAGGGAAUCUUCCGCAAUGGACGAAUGUCUGACGGAGCAACGCCGCGUGAACGAUGAAGGCCUUCGGGUCGUAAAGUUCUGUUGUUAGGGAAGAACAAGUGCUAGUUGAAUAAGCUGGCACCUUGACGGUACCUAACCAGAAAGCCACGGCUAACUACGUGCCAGCAGCCGCGGUAAUACGUAGGUGGCAAGCGUUGUCCGGAAUUAUUGGGCGUAAAGCGCGCGCAGGCGGUUUCUUAAGUCUGAUGUGAAAGCCCCCGGCUCAACCGGGGAGGGUCAUUGGAAACUGGGAAACUUGAGUGCAGAAGAGGAAAGUGGAAUUCCAAGUGUAGCGGUGAAAUGCGUAGAGAUUUGGAGGAACACCAGUGGCGAAAGGCGACUUUCUGGUCUGUAACUGACGCUGAGGCGCGAAAGCGUGGGGAGCAAACAGGAUUAGAUACCCUGGUAGUCCACGCUGUAAACGAUGAGUGCUAAGUGUUAGAGGUUUCCGCCUUUAGUGCUGAAGUUAACGCAUUAAGCACUCCGCCUGGGGAGUACGGUCGCAAGACUGAAACUCAAAGGAAUUGACGGCUGAGAGNGCGAGACGACGACGAGGGAGAGG
rnacentral:rRNA from 1 species